AUUGAACGCUGGCGGCAUGCUUUACACAUGCAAGUCGAACGGUAACAGGCCGCAAGGUGCUGACGAGUGGCGAACGGGUGAGUAAUGCAUCGGAACGUGCCCAGUCGUGGGGGAUAACGCAGCGAAAGCUGCGCUAAUACCGCAUACGGUCUAUGGAUGAAAGCGGGGGACCGUAAGGCCUCGCGCGAUUGGAGCGGCCGAUGUCAGAUUAGGUAGUUGGUGGGGUAAAGGCUCACCAAGCCAACGAUCUGUAGCUGGUCUGAGAGGACGACCAGCCACACUGGGACUGAGACACGGCCCAGACUCCUACGGGAGGUAGCAGUGGGGAAUUUUGGACAAUGGGCGCAAGCCUGAUCCAGCAAUGCCGCGUGCAGGAAGAAGGCCUUCGGGUUGUAAACUGCUUUUGUACGGAACGAAACGGUCCUGGUUAAUACCUGGGGCUAAUGACGGUACCGUAAGAAUAAGCACCGGCUAACUACGUGCCAGCCGCCGCAGUAAUAC
rnacentral:rRNA from 1 species